rnacentral:lncRNA from 1 species
GCAGUUUCAGUAACAGUCUACAUUUGCUCUCCUCAAUGUUUAUAUUUACUGUUGUAUCAGUAAUGAGUAGCUCAGCUAGAAGGAUUUAUCAGCAAUCUAGAGCCAUCUGACCAUGUGCAACUGGAGUAUGGUCACUAAAUAGAAUUUAAUUACUUUUUAUCUCUUUCCUUCACCCAGUGCUACAAGAAUAUAAACAGCUUGCCUUCCAUAAGGAUGAGCUGCAAGGGAAGCUUCCUGAUUGCUCACAAAGACACAGAUCGUCUGAAUUUUUCUGGGCAGAAAAAGUUCAAAGUGAACAUGUGAGGUCUCCAAUGACUCCUCAAGCAAGAUUACGAGAGCAUUAGCCUUCCUGGUAGCUUAAAGAAACAGCUAGCUUAAGUGUGAACAAAAUCCUCCGCAGAUGGGGGACAAGCUUGGAAAACAGCAGUAUAAAA